rnacentral:rRNA from 1 species
CCUACGGGGAGCAGCAGUGAGGAAUAUUGGUCAAUGGACGAGAGUCUGAACCAGCCAAGUAGCGGGAAGGAUGACUGCCCUAUGGGUUGUAAACUUCUUUUAUAUGGGAAUAAAAUGUUCCACGUGUGGGAUUUUGUAUGUACCAUAUGAAUAAGGAUCGGCUAACUCCGUGCCAGCAGCCGCGGUAAUACGGAGGAUCCGAGCGUUAUCCGGAUUUAUUGGGUUUAAAGGGAGCGUAGGUGGAUUGUUAAGUCAGUUGUGAAAGUGUGCGGCUCAACCGUAAAAUUGCAGUUGAAACUGGCAGUCUUGAGUACAGUAGAGGUGGGCGGAAUUCGUGGUGUAGCGGUGAAAUGCUUAGAUAUCACGAAGAACUCCGAUUGCGAAGGCAGUUCACUGGACUUCAACUGACACUGAGGCUCGAAAGUGUGGGUAUCAAACAGGAUUAGAGACCCCUGUAGUC